rnacentral:rRNA from 1 species
UGAGAAUCCUGUCCACCGUAUGACUAAGGUUUCCUGGGGAAGGCUCGUCCGCCCAGGGUUAGUCGGGACCUAAGCCGAGGCCGAUAGGCGUAGGCGAUGGACAACAGGUUGAUAUUCCUGUACCAGUUGUUUUUGUUUGAGCAAUGGAGGGACGCAGUAGGCUAAGGAAUGCAUGCGAUUGGAAGUGCAUGUCCAAGCAAUGAGUCUUGAGUAGAGUUAAAUGCUUUACUCUUUAAGGACAAGUUGUGACGGGGAGCGAAAUAAUAGUAGCGAAGUUCCUGAUGUCACACUGCCAAGAAAAGCUUCUAGUGAGAAAACAACUGCCCGUACCGUAAACCGACACAGGUAGUCGAGGAGAGUAUCCUAAGGUGAGCGAGCGAACUCUCGUUAAGGAACUCGGCAAAAUGACCCCGUAACUUCGGGAGAAGGGGUGCUGACUUCGGUCAGCCGCAGUGAAUAGGCCCAAGCGACUGUUUAUCAAAAACACAGGUCUCUGCAAAAUCGUAAGAUGAAGUAUAGGGGCUGACGCCUGCCCGGUGCUGGAAGGUUAAGAGGAUGGGUUAGCUUCGGCGAAGCUCAGAAUUGAAGCCACAGUAAACGGCGGCCGUAACUAUAACGGUCCUAAGGUAGCGAAAUUCCUUGUCGGGUAAGUUCCGACCCGCACGAAAGGCGUAACGAUUUGGGCACUGUCUCAACGAGAGACUCGGUGAAAUUUUAGUACCUGUGAAGAUGCAGGUUACCCGCGACAGGACGGAAAGACCCCAUGGAGCUUUACUGUAGUUUGAUAUUGAGUGUUUGUACCACAUGUACAGGAUAGGUAGGAGCCGAUGAGACCGGAACGCUAGUUUCGGAGGAGGCGCUGGUGGGAUACUACCCUUGUGUUAUGAACCCUCUAACCCGCACCACUAAUCGUGGUGGGAGACAGUGUCAGAUGGGCAGUUUGACUGGGGCGGUCGCCUCCUAAAAGGUAACGGAGGCGCCCAAAGGUUCCCUCAGAAUGGUUGGAAAUCAUUCGAAGAGUGUAAAGGCAGAAGGGAGCUUGACUGCGAGACCUACAAGUCGAGCAGGGACGAAAGUCGGGCUUAGUGAUCCGGUGGUUCCGCAUGGAAGGGCCAUCGCUCAACGGAUAAAAGCUACCCUGGGGAUAACAGGCUUAUCUCCCCCAAGAGUCCAC